GAUGAACGCUGGCGGCGUGCCUAAUACAUGCAAGUCGAGCGAACAGACGAGGAGCUUGCUCCUUUGACGUUAGCGGCGGACGGGUGAGUAACACGUGGAUAACCUACCUAUACGACUGGGAUAACUUCGGGAAACCGUAGCUAAUACCGGAUAACAUAUUGAACCGCAUGGUUCAACAGUGAAAGACGCUCUUUCUGUCACUUAUAGAUGGCUCCGCGCCGCAUUAGCUAGUUGGUAAGGUAACGGCUUACCAAGGCAACGAUGCGUAGCCGACCUGAGAGGGUGAUCGGCCACACGGGAACUGAGACACGGUCCAGACUCCGACGGGAGGCAGCAGUAGAGAAUCUUCCGCAAUGGGCGAAAGCCUGACGGAGCAACGCCGCGUGAGGGAAGAAGGACUUCGGAUCGUAAAGCUCUGUUAGUAGUGAAGAACAAAUGUGUAAGUAACUAUGCACGUCUUGACGGUACCGAAUCAGAAAGCCACGGCUAACUACGUG
rnacentral:rRNA from 1 species